CUCACACUUCGCAGGCAUGCUGGUUGCUGGCAAUGGCAUAGUAAUCUGCGUGUGUUUGGUGUGGGGGUUAUGUUCCUGAAACCUCGGAUUAAGGGCGGAACUAACUUUAAACUGGUUACUGGGUUAUGUUUGUGCGUCGACAUAUUUUAUAAAGGCUCGUUACUAAAUCGUAUGCUGGAUAUUAUACGUGACAUAAUUUUCGUUACUUACAUCUCGAAAAUGUCAAAAUCCCUAUAAAAAAUAUAUUUGCAAUUUCUUUAAAGGUGUCUAACCACACUUGGCAUGUACGUCAAUUACUUAUUUUACUGCACCGAAGCUUCGUCGAUCGGAUAUUUGUUUCGCGUCACAUUAUUACCGUGCUAAUAUUUGACUGGCUGCAUUAAUUGCUGUAGCCAUUCCCACUCUGUACAUGUUUGGGGUGUCUUCUGUAUCCAACGGGAUUUCAGUUAAUUUUGGGGUUAUGUUGAUGCUCACCAAUACGAACGUGUGGAGGACUACUAUAUGGUGCACACAGCCUCAUGAUGUCAACUGAGGAGCGACUUGAAUGAGAUGUAGCAGCUCCCAGGUCUGGAAAGUCAUUAAAUCGGCCGGGAGAGCAGUGUGAUGGCCACAUACCCCUCGAUUCAGCAUUCACAUAAUGCUAAAUGAUUCGGCAGCCGGUCAACAUCCAUUGGACCUUCAGGGCCUCGAAGAGUAGCUGAAGCGAAUAGUAUUUUAUGUCCCUACACCAGCUAUUUCAAGGCAGACAGACCAUCUAUCACUGCUGUAUACUGACCGUGUAUGGUGAUGAAGUUCCAGAUGAAUGCUGAUUGUCCAUGGGAUUAAAUCACACUAUAUAAUUUGUUUGUCAUUUUGAAUGACAAUCAUGGUGCAAUACUCAUCUUGGUUUUGAUGUUAUAUAAAUCUAAUACUUAAAUAAGAUUUUCAUUUUUCUGA